rnacentral:pre_miRNA from 1 species
GUAAUACUCCCUCCAUCCGAAAAUACUUGUCGAAGAAAUGAAUGUAUCUAGAUGUAUUUUAAUUCUAAAUACAUCCAUUUUCAUCCAUUUAUGCGACAAGUAAUUUCGGACGGAGGGAGUAUUUU